AAUCCAUAGGUUAAUGAGGCGAACCGGGGGAACUGAAACAUCUAAGUACCCCGAGGAAAAGAAAUCAACCGAGAUUCCCCCAGUAGCGGCGAGCGAACGGGGAGGAGCCCAGAGCCUGAAUCAGCAUGUGUGUUAGUGGAAGCGUCUGGAAAGGCGCGCGAUACAGGGUGACAGCCCCGUACACAAAAGCGCAUGUGCUGUGAGCUCGAUGAGUAGGGCGGGACACGUGGUAUCCUGUCUGAAUAUGGGGGGACCAUCCUCCAAGGCUAAAUACUCCUGACUGACCGAUAGUGAACCAGUACCGUGAGGGAAAGGCGAAAAGAACCCCGGCGAGGGGAGUGAAAAAGAACCUGAAACCGUGUACGUACAAGCAGUGGGAGCCCCACCACCAAAGCAUUCUCUGGUGUUGAAG
rnacentral:rRNA from 1 species